UUAAGUUCACGCACUCUGGGAUUUC
rnacentral:miRNA from 1 species